rnacentral:rRNA from 1 species
UACGAAGGGGGCUAGCGUUGCUCGGAAUCACUGGGCGUAAAGCGCACGUAGGCGGCUUUCUAAGUCAGGGGUGAAAUCCUGGAGCUCAACUCCAGAACUGCCUUUGAUACUGAGGAUCUUGAGUUCGGGAGAGGUGAGUGGAACUGCGAGUGUAGAGGUGAAAUUCGUAGAUAUGGGGAGGAACACCGGUGGCGAAGGCGACCAUCUGGACGGAUACUGACGCUGAGACGCGAAAGCGUGGGUAGCAAACAGG